rnacentral:tRNA from 1 species
GGUGCGAUAGUUCAGUUGGUUAGAAUACCGGCCUGUCACGCCGGGGGUCACGGGUUCAACUCCCGUUCGCACCG